rnacentral:lncRNA from 1 species
UGUGUGAUAUUUGAUUCUUUCCUUACAUUUCCUUCACAGAUAUUCAAGAAUUUUAUGAGGUGACAUUACUAAAUUCUCAAAAAAGUUGCCAGCAGAAAAUAGAAGAAGCCAAUCGAGUUGUGCAGAAAUGGGAAAAGACAUCGAUUCUUUCUCCGUGCCAUGAUAGCCUUCAAAAAUCUGCAGAGUUUGCAGGUUGCAGUGGACUGAAGGAAAAGGUUUCCUGUAUUGAGAAAAAUAAAGAAAAUCAGUGUUUUGAGAUUGAAACUGAUGAGAAGACAAGUCAAAACCAAGGCAAAUGCCCAGCCCAGAAUUGUUCAGUGGACGCCCCUGCGUGGAUGCCUGUCCAUCACUGUUCUAUAUAAACUCAUGGACACCACAGGAAAAUGAAUGGAUAAUCAGAAAUGGGAAGUCAUCAAAGAUAGUGCAACUGAUACUUCUUGGGACUGUGAAUAUUUUGGUAAUCUUUAAGUGCAUAAACAUUACCAUAGAAAGCCUUGAAACAGAAGUCUCAGCGAAAAAGAAUCAGAUGAUGCAGCUCAUGAGGAGACUCUUCAAAGAAUAUACUUGACCAGUGACAGGAAUACUGAAAAAGGGAUCUCUGUCUUCUGCAAUAUUUUGAUUGACCUGACUUUAUGAAAUUAUGCUAGAAAGACCUAAAAGUUAGAAGGAUGUGUUUACGUGGAGUUGAAUUGAGAAUAAAUUCAGGAGACAUAUGCCAAUGUAUGGAGAAGAUAACAAUACGAAUAGAGAUAAAAAGUCCUUUUAAAGCUCUGAGAUGAUUUUCAUUCUGCUACAAGUGGCACUAUUCUUUCUUCAUGUUUAAAGGCAGAUGGUGGCUGUAUAGACAAAAUGCAAUGAAGAGUCAAGGCAAUUAUUCAUUUCCGUGGGGCUUCAGGAAUGUGCUGUGGAGGGAAAAAAUUGCUUUGGGGGCC